AAUUGUUAUGUGGAAGGGAAAGUUAAAACAUUCUUCAGUGAGAAUUAAUGCUUCGGUCAUAUUCUCCAGAGCUUUGCAAGGAGGAACACCUUAAGAUAAGGAGAGACAGCUUCCUAUGACAGCAGGAAAGUUUGACUCUGCUGUCAUUUAAAAUACCGUUUCAAAGGUCAUGUUUGUGUUUUAAAUGAAAUGUGAAGCUGAACUUUAUGCUCUGCCAGAUAACAGUGGUAGUGAUGCAAGUGCUUCCUUUGAAUUCUGCAGGGAGGUGACCUGAGGUACUCACCAAUUUUGUUAGCCGUUUCCUUGGGCUCAGACUGUGUUACAGAGAGACUGCUCAAGAAACAGCACCCACCUACUCCCAAGGUUUUCCCUCAGAAGUGGCACAUGGGCUCUACCUCUCCUGUCCUGCUUGUGCACCUUCUGCCCUACGUGACCAAGAUCCUGCUCUGCACCCCUGGGAGGUGUGAUUACAUCUUGCACAAACUGCAGAUAAACUAUAGAGAUAAAAUCUGGAAGACAAAGUCUUAAAACUGGAAGACAGGUGAAGAGUUCAUGAGGGCUGAGGAAGGAGCCUCAUUUGUCUUUAAUCAUACGCAGAUUGCAAAGAAUAGACACGACUCCAUUAUUUUCCCAGACAAAAUACUGCACCAUAUUCGGCACUUCUAACAACAGCAGUAUCUUGGAUAUAGAUAGCAAAGGAAGGUAUGAAGGGUAUGAACGCUGGCUUGAGAAAAGCUGCCAACAAUUUUCCCUACAGAGGAGCAUGAAAGAAUGUUGGCACUAGGGAUUCAGUUAUCAGUGGGAGAGGUUUUGCAAAGACAAAAAUAAAGGAUUUGCCUGCAAGUUUGUGGCACUCACUCUCAGAAGUGCUGCAUGAAGGCAUAUCCCUAUGGGUACUGCUGGUGUAAUGUGAAUAAUUGAGAAAAUGGUGCUUGGUUUUAGGACUAAGUGUAUUGUCAACACAAAAUGCCUCCAGGAGUUUUCUAGUGCAAUACAGGCAAGGUCCUUCAGUUGCAGGGGAAAUAUUCUGGUGGCCAGCUAGGGGAGAACCUAGGUCCUUUAAAUCCCCAGUUUAACCUAUCUGCUUGCCAUAGUCUCUCUGAUUUUACUACCUUGGCAAUUAUCUUGUUUGCUCUCUUCAUCUUUUCCUCAUACAUCCAAAGCAUGAAAUUGUGUUUUCAUAGCAUAAAUUCACCGGUCAGGGUAUGUGACGUUUGGAUUCUUUUUUAAAGAAAAAGUGAGCAUCAGCAAUUUUUUGCCAGCUGAGUGGCACAAACCUAUCCCAAAACAGGAAUCAGAUUCUUGCCUAAAUACUGCUGCACAGAAGUUUCCAACUCCACAUUGGCAAGGUGUGAUGGGCGUUACCUCGAUGUGAGCAAUAUGGAUCUGGGGCACACCUGUGCAGGAACCUGCAGUGGGUGGCCAGCAAAGCCUUGUGAGAAACCCUGCCUGGCUUUCUGGAGGCUGCUCCGUGAGUGGAAAGCCCUGCUCAUUGCCAGCAAGAAGUCAAAACUUUUCCAAGGUCCUUGUAAGGUGCUCAGGGAGCUGGUUUCCAGCAAGAAGGCAGGAAGAAACAGCCUCUAUUUUAAGGAGAUUAUCUUCAACAAAGAUUUAUCAAGCGGAAGUACAGCGAAGGCUGAAGCCAAGGCACAUAUUCCUGUGACCCAGUUACCUUCCAGAAACCCAGGCAGGACAGAAAGGACUCUGGCUUCCAGCUACAAGAGAGCUGCUGAGCAUUAACACAUAGUAACCUAAUUAAUUUAUUCCCCCAGUGGAUAAUUACUAGCUUUUUCUUUUUCUUGUUGCAAAGUAGCAGCCAAAUAAUGGUGCUGAUUUUAAUUAACUAGCCAAUGGGAGGCUGGAUGGGUUGAGGAGAGAUUUCAUACAAAAAUUAAUUAAUGCUCUGACCUACUUUAAAGUGUUGCUUAAGUGGAAAUUGGGGGGAAGCUGACUUCAAUCACUUAUGGAUCUUUUCAUAUCCUUUUAACCGGUCAAGUAAUGAGGCUUUCUUUGUGAUCCACAGCACUUCAAUUGGCAACCUAAAAGAAUUCAGUGAACACACCAGAAAUACGUAAUUCCCAAGGCAAACAUAAUUUCCUCUUAAUGAACACACCUGAGUUAGCAAAGGAAAAAGUCCUUCUUUCUCAAACCAAGCCCCUGGUUUAUUGCCAAGCUUAACUCAGGACAUGCGAUGGGUAAUAUGAGCUCCAUUUUAAACAAACUAGAACUAUCUCUAUGUUUCUUCCUUUUGUCUUCCCAAU